AUAAGUAAAUUGCGCAUGAUGAAUAAGCUACGUUAUAUCGUAAAUGUUUUAUGGCUAUGGCUACACGAUACGUAUAGAAAUUUUAUCACGCAACAAUGGAAGCAUACAAUAUUUUUCUAGUGUUUUUUAUAAUAUUAGGCAUACAACAGUAUAAUGCAAUGAGAUAUGAAGUACCAAGAGAGUUUCGAUAUAUAAACUAUGUACAAACUGAGUAUUAUCUACCAAAGAAACGAACAAUACCGUGGAACAGAAGAAUGCAUUCAAGAAGACGUUUUCUGUAAUAACUCUUAUUAAAUCAUCUGCAACUGUUCCGGGAAGUAGUGAGAGAAGCGACAAAUGCUACCAAACUGACAUUCUCCCCUCAUAAACCGACUGCAUGGUUUCUUCAUACUUUCUUCUUCCAGGAUAGUCUCCGGUACUAAAAUUAUAUAAAAC